GCCUGGGUGGCUCAGUCGGUUGAGCAUCCGACUUUGGCUCAGGUCAUGAUCUCACGGUCCGUGAGUUCGAGCCCCGCAUCGGGCU
rnacentral:tRNA from 1 species